rnacentral:rRNA from 1 species
UACGUAGGUGGCAAGCGUUGUCCGGAUUUAUUGGGUUUAAAGGGUGCGUAGGCGGCCCUGUAAGUCAGUGCUGAAAUAUCCCAGCUUAACUGGGAGGGUGGCAUUGAUACUGCGGGGCUAGAGUACAGAUGAGGUAGGCGGAAUUGACGGUGUAGCGGUGAAAUGCUUAGAUAUCGUCAAGAACACCUAUAGCGAAGGCAGCUUACUAGGCUGUAACUGACGCUGAGGCACGAAAGUGUGGGGAUCAAGCAGG